rnacentral:rRNA from 1 species
UACGGGGGGGGCAAGCGUUGUUCGGAAUUACUGGGCGUAAAGGGCUCGUAGGCGGCCAACUAAGUCCGACGUGAAAUCCCCGGGCUCAACCCGGGAACUGCGUCCGAUACUGGAAGGCUUGAAUCCGGGAGAGGGAUGCGGAAUUCCAGGUGUAGCGGUGAAAUGCGUAGAUAUCGGAAGGAACACCUGUGGCGAAAGCGGCUCACUGGACCAUAACUGACGCUGAUGCACGAAAGCUAGGGGAGCAAACAGG